GUGGAGCUGGAAAGGUGGAGGCGGAAGUGACUGAUCAAUUCAGGGGCGUGGGGUUCGUUUAGGUUUUGCCCUGUGUAUGACCUCGUUUGGAGCCAUGAAACCAGAGUUUCGCUCUUUUUGACCAAGCUGGAGUGCAAUGGCGUGAUUUCGGCUUGCUGCAAUCUCUGCCUCCCAGGUUCAAGUGAUUCUCCUGCCUCAGCCUUCUGAGUAGUUGGGAUUACAGGUGGCUUUUCUACAAUAUAAAGAUGGAAAUGGGAUGAUGUUCAUUGCAAAUUAGGGAAGCUCUUCCACGAGUUCACGAAUGGAAAUAACAUCAAGAGUUUUUCAUCUUCUUAGUGUGCAAGAUGUCUGAGGAAUAGUCUUAGUGGAUUAUCCCAAACUUGACACAUUUUUUGCAAAAUGCUAUACAAAAAGAAGAUACAUGCGAUUAUGACAAGAUUCUCCACUUGGUGUGACCAGUCUCAUACAACCCAAGGCUGUGUGUCCAAAGGCAACUGCACUGAAUACUGGAAAGCAUUUAUUUGUUUGCUAAAUUGCUCUCUUUCCACCAGCGAUAUCAACUCUGAAAUACUUUUUAGAUCUUGACAAUAAUCAAAAGGUAGCCAGGUGCAUCGG
rnacentral:lncRNA from 1 species